rnacentral:miRNA from 1 species
GCUACAGCGGGUGCUUACAUUGCCUCCCAGACGGUGAAGAAGGUGAUAGAGAUCAACCCAUACCUGCUAGGCACCAUGGCUGGGGGCGCAGCGGAUUGCAGCUUCUGGG